rnacentral:rRNA from 1 species
UACGGAAGGGGCUAGCGUUGUUCGGAAUCAUUGGGCGUAAAGGGCGCGUAGGUGGUUUUGUGUGUCUACCGUGAAAGCACACGGCUCAACCGUGUUACGUCGGUAGAAACUGCAGGACUUGAGGCUGGGAGGGGCUGGUGGAAUUCCCCGUGUAGCGGUGAAAUGCGUAGAGAUGGGGGAGAACACUCGUGGCGAAGGCGGCCAGCUAGACCAGCACUGACACUGAGGCGCGAUAGCGUGGGGAGCAAACAGG